UGAGAGUAAAGAGCCAGCACACACAUUGGAAAGUUGGGACCGGCAAGAAUUGUAUUUUAAUCUCAUGCAAUAUCCAGUUGUCUCCGUACCAAUUGCCAGCGCUUUAACCACUUAAGACACUGGUCUUGUCUAGCUGGAGAAACAAGUUUGAGUACCUUCGGGCAACAUCUGCACGCUUUUAAAAAUGAACCGAAUAAAAGCUGCAGUUGCCACUAGUCGGCGCUGUUAAUACGAGAGUCAAACUGAACAGUGGAAGAUUGGGAUGUGGUAUGUACAAAGUCCUUGGUUCAAGCCCUAGCACUGCAUGAAGCCAUGCAUGGGACACAUGCUUCUGAGGUGAGUUUCUGGCCAGCCUGGACUCUACAAGACCCUGUCUUCAAAAAGACCAAUGAUAAAGAAAAGAAAAACCUGAGUGGUUAAGAACACUUUUUGCUCUUGUAGAAUGCCUGAGUUCAAUUCCCAACACCCACAUGGACAGGCGUAACUCUCCAAAACUCUCCAAAAGUUUCUAAGUUUCUCCCUUAGAAACUGCAGUUCUAAGGGAUCUGAUGCUGCCUUCUGACUGUGAACACCAGGCAUGCUUUGGUGCCCAGAUGUGCAUGUGGGAAACAUGCAUAUAAAAUAAAAUCUUUGAACUAUUCAAAACCUUAGCGCAUAGGCCGUUCAAAAAUAAUAUAUCUAUGCCUAGAUGUCACCUCAAGUAGAACCCUGGGGGAGAAUACUAAGCACUAAGCACCUAUGUGCUUGAAGGCUCCCCUGGUUGGCUCUCAUGUACCACAAGAGCCCUGUGCCAUCCAUUAUGAAGGACAAGGCCUGCCUUUUUGAUACAGCCUUAGAACCUAGCACAUUGUCUUACUGCAUGAGCUUUUAUUUGCCAAAGUUUGUCUCAUUUUAGUCUCCAGUGAUAGCCCAAGGAAAAUCCAAACCAAUGAAAUACCAGGGAAUCUAUUCUAAUAUUUUCCCACCCAGAAUCCUUUGUGUUCCUGCCCCUGGUCACCUGUCAUUUUCAGUUCACUGUGACCAUUGUCACCAGAUGAAUUCCUGAAACACAAAAACGUCAUCUUCAUUGUUGAAAAGCCUUAUUCCUCAGUUAUCUAAUAAAUAACUAAGUCAUUUAAGUCUACAAGUCUAUACCCAGGACUGGAGACGUGGCUCAGCCAGUCGAGACCUAUGUUCUAUGGCCCAGUGUAGUGAUGUCCGCAUUAGAUCCCAGCACUCAGGAGCAGAGGCAGACAGAGCUCUGUGAGUGUGAAGCCAGUGUAGUCUAUACAACUGGUUCCAGGUCAUUUUGGAGCUAUACACUGCUCUUGCAGAGGACCCAGGUUUACAGGUUUGGCUCCUAGUACCCAUGUCAGCUGUCUUACAGUCUCCUAUAACUCCAGGUCCGGGUGGGUUUCUACACUCCAGUGAUAGACGAGCUGCCUUGUGAUGGACUUUUAACGUGGAAACCAGCUGUUCCAUAUGGACCAGACAUUGACACAGUUGGCCUGCACUUCUCUCGACCUUGAACUGCGCUGGUCUGGGUGUGCUGUGCAGAUCCUUCCCAUCCUUCAAGUCUCCAUUCUGGAGAGAUUAAACCCUAGUGAACAAGAUGGCCUGCCAUUGGGUGUUUUACCACCCUCCCCAUCCCAGCACAAGAUCCUGUCUUGGCAACAGCUUAGCCUGCAAGUAAUGAUUUAAUGUAUGUUUUUCACAAACUCAGCUUUAAAAAAAUAGAAGUAGAAGGUCCAGAUUCACACACAGAAGUAAAUGAUGUUUAUAAUUCCAGAAUAUUUUACAAGACGUUCUAGAAUAAGAAUUGCUUAGAUUAGCUCAGCGAGCCAUGUAAAGCUUGAAGAAAAUUCUGAAAUUACAUCAAUAACUGACAAUUCACAGAAACUAUAUACUUUCAAAAUAUUAAGUGUUUGUAUCAAAUUGUUAUCGUCUCAGAAUUACCAAAAUAUAUGUUUCUUCUUAGAGGGAAAAUCAACUACUCACCCCUUCCCCUGCUUUUACUUGUCCCUCCGUCUACUAUCUCCCCCCACAUACAUAUGUACAUCCUCAGACAGCACACCACACACACACACACACACACACUAUUGUCUAUGUGUUAGAGCCUUUGAAAGUUAGUUCUCUCUUUCAGAUAAGA